CCUGCUGUUUUGGGAGCCUGCUGGGAUUCCCCUGGGUCCUACUGAGGACCUGUCAUUUUUGACAGAAACCAAGGGCAGACAAAUAUUAAUUUUCUAAAUUUUGUAGGGGCCCCACAGGCUGGGUAGAAUGGCCUUGCAGGCCAGGUCCAGCCCAUGGGUCAUAUUUUGCCCACCCCUGGGUAAGACUCUUAUCCCCAAUUUACAGAUAGGGAACUAGACCACAGAAGCUAAAGCCCCCAAAUCCCAUUUUGCCUUUAAAGUGCCUAUGUGAUACUUGUGUGCCUAAAUGCAAUCAUAUUUCUGUUGUGCUCAAGUCCCUGGAGAACUGUUUGUACAAAAAAAUGGUUGUUUUCUCUGCCUCUUCACUGCUCGGUUGUGUAACUUAGUCUGGAGGACAGGGUGAACUCAUUUUACAAGAGUUGUCACGAUAACAGAUUUCAGAGAUUCCAGCCUGAUGCAACAGCCGCCUUGGAGGUAAAACUGAAUUUGGGGCAGAGUUCUUCCUUCAAUGACUGUUCUCCCCGACUAAUCCUACAGCUUGUUUUCUUACAUAAGCGUGCCAUUCUCAGAUCAUGGGGCUGGAAAAUGCCUCUUGGAUUGUGUAGUCCAACCCACCUGUAUCAAGGAGAGAACUAAUUUGCCACAAACUUUUCUAACCUUGUCAGAAAUGUGUCUAUUUGUGUUAUUAUUUUAUGGAAUUUGCUCUUAACAGACACUAAUCUGGGAUUGACUCGUAUCCAAAGGUCACAAUAAAAGCCUGAGGAAAGCAAGGAGCAAUACAGCUUUUCCUGAGAUAAGGUCAGAUGCUGUCACUCUCACACAUCAAUCAAUUCAUCAGUCACCAUAGCAAUGUCCUUGGAAACACCCAUGUUUGAUACUCCUAAUACAUAUAACAAAAGGCUUUGCAGGGAAUCAGUAAGGUCUUUUAAAGGGGGGAAAAAAAGGCCAUCUCUAACAAAUUAAGAACGAAAUUGCACUUGCUUCAGUGUUUUAGUCUGAUGAAAAUAUAGGAAUCAGCUGUCCUUUUUGCUGUUAUGGAAAUUGCAAUCAUCAUGUGAAAUCGCCAACUUUUGCAUGUAAUAAUGACCUCUUGCCUAGUGUCUGCGUGGAAAAGAAGCUCCCUCCAUAAACACCCAAAUACAAGAAUACUUGUCUCGACAGCAGUGGUCUUCAUCCUUUUCAGACUCAAGGAACCCCUCGGAAAAUGCCAGCUCUGAGCCUUCGUUUGAUGUUUGACUGGGACAAUAAUAAAGCGAUUCUUCUGCUGCAAAGCACUCAGAAAGCCCCUAGCGGAGUCUCAGGACAACGCGUUAUUUCUGAACACUGCCAGCCCUGAAGCAGCAAACGGCCUGGCAUUUAAAUUGCCUAAAAUGGCAGUUCACGUUGUGUCCAGGUGUCCUCGCAUUUUAACGGCUGUAAAUCAUGAGCAGCUUCAUUGAAAUUAUACCAGGAAGUGGAAGGAAAUGAAGAAUCGCUGUUUCAGUUCCUCUGCCUGCAGACUCGAGAGAUCACCCAUCAGCACUCAGGAGAUUAGUGCUAUAUUUUCUUCAGCAGAAUGAGGACAUUUUUCUUUUAAAAUGAAAGUUUAAAUUCUGAAUCAACUGAUGGGUCCAUUACACCCGUGGUGAUGUGAUGUACUGCUGUUUAUCCUAACAUCUGGUCUGUCCGACUCUGCCAAUUGAUUUGGGAUUUUUAGUUUUUUUCAAUAGUCAUGCUAUUUUAUUGCCACUUUAUGUCUAUGACUUUCUUUUAAGGAGGCCCAGCAGGAAUUUGGACAUGGAUGGUUACUAAAUACACAUUAUUCUUCAGUGUUUAAAAUGACUGUAUUAAUAUUGCCACAAUAAAAGAAACAAUGACAGCCUGA